AACGCACAUUGCGCCCGCCGGCAUUCCGGCGGGCAUGCCUGUCCGAGCGUCAUUUCGACCCUCGGGCCCCCCCCCCGCGGGGGGGCCUGGUGUUGGGGGCCGGCCGCGCGCCGCCCCCGAAAUGCAGUGGCGACCCCGCCGCGGCCUCCCCUGCGCAGUAGCGCAGCCUCGCAGCGGAGCGCGCGGUGGCGGUCACGCCGUAAAAAAGACGCCCCAGCGGCACUCCUCGGGAGUUGACCUCGGAUCAGGCAGGAGUACCCGCUGAACUUAA
rnacentral:misc_RNA from 1 species